rnacentral:siRNA from 1 species
AGGACGAGUUUUGCUGGACGG